GGCGACAGACUAGUGUUGUGUCGUCACUGUUACUUCUUGGGUGAUUACGGUGUCAGGUGUUGCAGGUGACAUAUCAGUGUUGGGUGAUUACGGUGUCAGGUGUUGCACGUGACAUAUCAGUGUUGGGUGAUUACGGUGUUCGGUGUUGCACGUGACAUAUCAGUGUUGGUUGAUUACGGUGUCGAGUGUUGCAGGCGACAGACUAGUGUUGUGUCGUCACUGUUACUUCUUGGGUGAUUACGGUGUCAGGUGUUGCAGGUGACAUAUCAGCGUUGGGUGAUUACGAUGUCAGGUGUUGCAGGUGACAUAUCAGCGUUGGGUGAUUACGGUGUCAGGUGUUGCAGGUGACAUAUCAGCGUUGGGUGAUUACGGUGUCAGGUGUUGCAGGUGACAUAUCAGCGUUGGGUGAUUACGGUGUCAGGUGUUGCAGGUGACAUAUCAGCGUUGGGUGAUUACGGUGUCAGGUGUUGCAGGUGACAUAUCAGCGUUGGGUGAUUACGGUGUCAGGUGUUGCAGGUGACAUAUCAGCGUUGGGUGAUUACGGUGUCAGGUGUUGC